rnacentral:rRNA from 1 species
CCUACGGGAGGCAGCAGUGGGGGAUAUUGCACAAUGGGGGAAACCCUGAUGCAGCGACGCCGCGUGGGCGAAGAAGUAUUUCGGGAUGUAAAGCCCUAUCAGCAGGGAAGAAGGAAUGACGGUACCUGAGUAAGAAGCACCGGCUAAAUACGUGCCAGCAGCCGCGGUAAUACGUUUGGUGCAAGCGUUAUCCGGAGUUACUGGGGGUAAAGGGAGCGCAGGCGGCAGGGCAAGCCUGAUGUGAAAGCCCGCGGCCCAACCGCGGGACUGCAUUGGGAACUACCGGGCUGGAGUGCCGGAGAGGUAGGCGGAAUUCCGAGUGUAGCGGUGAAAUGCGUAGAUAUUAGGAGGAACACCAGUGGCGAAGGCGGCCUACUGGACGGUGACUGACGCUGAGGCUCGAAAGCGUGGGGAGCAAACAGGAUUAGAUACCCGAGUAGUC